rnacentral:rRNA from 1 species
CUAGGCGCUGACGAGUGGCGGACGGGUGAGUAAUACAUAGGUAUCUGCCUAGUAGUGGGGGACAACCUGGUGAAAACCAGGCUAAUACCGCAUAAUGUCUACGGACGAAAGGAGGCCUCUUCUUGAAAGCUUUCGCUAUUAGAUGAGCCUAUGUCAGAUUAGCUUGUUGGUAGGGUAAUGGCCUACCAAGGCGACGAUCUGUAGCUGGUCUGAGAGGAUGAUCAGCCACACUGGGACUGAGACACGGCCCAGACUCC